rnacentral:rRNA from 1 species
AUUGAACGCUGGCGGCAUGCCUAACACAUGCAAGUCGAACGCGAAAGUACCUUCGGGUACGAGUAGAGUGGCGGACGGGUGAGUAACGCGUAGGAAUCUGCCCAGUAGUGGGGGACAACUCGAGGAAACUCGAGCUAAUACCGCAUACGCCCUACGGGGGAAAGCGGGGGAUCUUCGGACCUCGCGCUAUUGGAUGAGCCUGCGUCGGAUUAGCUAGUUGGUGAGGUAACGGCUCACCAAGGCCGCGAUCCGUAGCUGGUCUGAGAGGAUGAUCAGCCACAUUGGGACUGAGACACGGCCCAAACUCCUACGGGAGGCAGCAGUGGGGAAUAUUGGACAAUGGGCGAAAGCCUGAUCCAGCAAUGCCGCGUGUGUGAAGAAGGCCUGCGGGUUGUAAAGCACUUUCAGUAGAGAAGAAAAGCAUGGGGAUAAUACCCCCGUGUCUUGACGUAACCUACAGAAGAAGCACCGGCUAACUCCGUGCCAGCAGCCGCGGUAAUACGGAGGGUGCAAGCGUUAAUCGGAAUUACUGGGCGUAAAGCGUACGUAGGCUGUUAUUUAAGUCAGAUGUGAAAGCCCCGGGCUUAACCUGGGAAUUGCAUUUGAUACUGGAUAACUAGAGUCUGGUAGAGGGUAGUGGAAUUCCACGUGUAGCGG